rnacentral:lncRNA from 1 species
AGUGAGGACAAGAUUGGUCCAUUAAUCUCGUGGUUUUUCAGCUAAACUACAUGUACAUGUAGCUACACGUAUUUCAAGAUUUGCAAUUUUGUCCUAUCACAGUUUGGCAACAAAACAAUAGGAAUUAGAUUGGGACUAUCUGAAUGACAUAAUUGCAGAAAAUUAAGUCAUCAAAAUCGAACUUGCAUGUACACCUCUGUGGAUACUACCAUAUUGCCAGUGGUCAUUGUA